CCGGUCCCGGCUUGGCUGCGCAGGUUCCCGCGCAGCUGGCUGGAUGAGGUGGCGCAAAGGUUGGAGUGCAGAAGGCAAAGUGUCUCUUCAACUUUCCGGGCUGCGGCUUGGUUAUCUCCACCGCUCUGGAGCAGCUAAUGGUCCAUGAGGCGCACGCAAAGGAGACUGGGUAUAUUCCAAAUGACAAGUAUAAUUUCAGGCAAGUUUCAAUAUAGUCUUGGAGUCGCUGUCACUGCAAAACCUUCAACUUUGAAAGUAC
rnacentral:lncRNA from 1 species